AGAGUACAAGGAGACCCGUGACGUAGAACCGAACGGCGACGUCUACCGCUGUCCCAUCUGCGCCGAAGUCUGCUGGGAAGCUUCGUUCUUCAAGUCGUGGAGCAACGGAACUCUCUCCUUCGAGCUGGUCCUGAGCAUCCUCAACAGCAGUCGCACUCCAGAUCUCUCGGACGUCUUAGGCCUGUACCAGCCUUCGGAUGAGGACCUCGAGUCGUACUCCACCCCGGCCAAGGACUUCAUUCAGACGUGUAGCUUCGAUCGGCAGCCCUGUUCUCACAAGCAGUUCCACUCCUGGGUGAGCGACCAGUACGGAGUGUGUCACACCUUCAACUCCGCCUUCAGGAAGGUCGCGCUCAAGAAUGGCAAGACUGUCAGUGCUGUCCCGAGGAAGACUUCGUCGGUGGGA